AACAGUUUUAACUUUUUUUUCUUAAAGAAAUAUAAGAAAAUAAAUAUAUACAGUCUUCCCCAACCAAAAUUUAAAGCAUGUAAAUUUUGAUGAGAGUAUGUAUAUUUAUCAGCUAUUGUAUUUAGAAAAAGAGGAGAAUGAAAUAGGUAUAUUUUAGGAUAUAAAAUCUGUUUUAUGCUUGUAAGAAAAAGUUUGUUUUUACACAGUGUAUUAAAAUCGUUGAUAUGUAUUUAGCAAAAAAAGAAUUGGAACUUAGAAAAGCGGCAAUAAAGCAGCAGAUUGCUCGCAAAAGAGAGGAGCUUGCUAAAAGAAAGGAAAUUCUUGGGACAGCCAAUUUGACUGUAGCUGUUGAAAAACACAUUUUACUAACGUACUCAGAUGUUUGUGCUAAAAUAAAAGAGCAUGAGUUAUCGCACACAGUGCAUUAUGUUGUAUCUCACACUGGAAACAUGGAAUAAAAAUUUGAAGAACUCUUGAAGAAGAAUCACAGAGUGUUUUUUGAGGAUAAUGAUUUCCCCCACAUUGGGGUUCCAUUCAUUUUUUCAGCGCAUACUUGUCUUGACUGUCAACAAGGAAUAGACAGGAAUAUUAAAGCAAAAGAAAAGUACAGAAAAAAGAAAAACGAUGCAGCAGCUAAAGAUCAUUAUUACCAAAAUAACAAAGUUAUUCUCCAGGAUACCAAAAAAUUUGAUUGUCCAGCCGUGAUUCAUAUAAAAGAAAUAGUUGAAUUUCCAGAGUUUAAGCUCACUAGAGAUACAACAUGGUCAAGAAAUGAAAUGUCGAAAAAGCUUCGAAUAGCUAUUUCUACCCAAGGAAAUUUUAUUAUGUGUAGAAAGUACAUUUUAGUAUUGCCAGGUGUUUCUGCUCAUAAAAACUAUGUGAUAGGAGAGACAGCGAGUCUUAGUUAACCCUUUUCUGAUACUCUCAUUAUUAAAAUUGGAGAGUUAGUAAAAAAGGGUGUCAACACUGUUCCAGAAAUGAGAAGACAUCUUGAUUAUUUUGUUGAAGCUGAAUUUGGUUUAAGUAAGAUUCCUCAUAAAGAAAGCGUUACUUUAGGUAUACUGACUAGGUAUGCUCUUCCUCUAUUUUUUCUAGUUGUUAAAACAAACACGGAUUACCAAGUUGUAGCAAUUUUUGUGUGUGAAAACAAAACAACUGAAGCUAUCACUGAAAUAUUGACGUGCAUUAAACAGUGCAAUCCUUUAUUUCAGCCUAAAUUUGUUUUAACUGAUUAUUCAAACGAAGAAAUAAACUCAAUUGAAUAUGUGUUUUCAGGUAAGACUUUGUGAAUAGGUAUUUCAAGAUUUUCUAAAAUUUUAAGCAGCAUAAUUUCAUGUAUAAGUUCACUUUAUUAGGAUGUAGUGUCCUAAUUUGCGAUUUUUACCGAGAGCAAGCUUGGGAAAGAUGGCUUUCUAAAACCAAUAAUGGCUGUUGCACUGUGAAAGAUGCAGUUAAGUUACAACUUCGCCAAAUUGCCAAUGCAAAAACAGAAGAGAUUUGCAAAGAUGCUGUGAAUGCUUUCAAAGAGACAGAAGAGCGGAAAAAUCACCCAAAACUAAGAGAAUAUUUAAAUAAUACUUGAUUAUGCAACCAAAAGAGAUAGGUGUCCAUUCCGGCAACAUUGCCUUUUGCGAAAUGUCAACACAAACAAUGGCACUGAAAGGCAAAAUCAAUCAUUUAAAUAUAGUUUCUUGGAAAGAAGAAAAAGCUCAUCUCUCACAGCUAUGUUAAGUAUUUGCAUUGAUGAACUCCUACCUCACAAUUAUGACAACUAUGUGGAUGAAAAUAGAAGAGCACACUCAUCUUAUAGAAAAUAUAGUAAUAACAUUCCUGUGUAUUUAGUAAAUCACCCAGGACCUUUAGUAAAACACUGCAUGAAAAUGAUUGAUAAACUACAAGGCAUAUCAUUGAAUGGAAUUAAUGCUGUCACCAACAGGUUGUUUUGAUCCCUCUUACGGCAAUUCUCCAUAUUUCAUAUUAGAUCCAUUGUUUGGAUGAAAAUAAUUAUUCAACUUCAUCUCAUGUUCAAGAGUCAGCUGAACUAAAAAGUUUAAAAAAUACUCCUGCCAGUGUGAUGUUGUUGCCUAGCAACAUUGCAUCUGUACCAUAUGAACAUAGUCAUUCAACUGCAUGUAGUCAUUGUAUGAAUGUAAUAGUAUGGUCUUGAUUGGCGCUCAUCUUCUAAAAACGAAUCAAAGAUCGAUUGGUUUGAAUGUUUCGAAUGCAUAAAGUAAAAGAUUAAUAAAUAUUUGUUAUUGUUUACCUGAUGACGAAGCAUCUUUUCGUUUGUAUGAUUCUAAAUAAAAGUUACACUAAUAUAUUUCAAACAUCAGUUACAAACACAUUGAAGUAAUAAGAAAAGCAACCAAAUAUAAAUUUUAUACUAGACAAUUUCCUGGUUGACUCUUGUCUUGGUCUUGAUUAGCGCUCAUCUUCUAAAAACGAAUCAAAGAUCGAUUGGUUUAAAUGUUUCAAAUGCAUACAGUAAAAAAUUAGUAAAUAUUUUUUAUUGUUUACCUGACGACGAAUCAUGUUCGUUUGUUUGAUUCUAAAUAAGUUACACUAAUAUAUUUUGAACAUCAGUUAUAAACAUAUUGAAAUAAUAAGAAAAGCAACCAAACGUAAAUGUUAUACUAGACAAUUUCCUGGUCGACUCUGGUCUUGAUUGGCAUUUAUCUUCUAAAAACAAAUGAAAGAUUGAUUGGUUUGAAUGUUUUAAAUGCAUAAAGUGUAAUGUGCCAUAAGUAAUACAAAAGAUUCCUAGAUAUAUAUGUUUUACUUGAC